rnacentral:rRNA from 1 species
AUUGAACGCUGGCGGAAUGCUUUACACAUGCAAGUCGAACGGCAGCACGGGGCAACCUGGUGGCGAGUGGCGAACGGGUGAGUAAUACAUCGGAACGUGCCCAAUCGUGGGGGAUAACGUAGCGAAAGUUACGCUAAUACCGCAUACGAUCUACGGAUGAAAGCGGGGGAUCGCAAGACCUCGCGCGAAUGGAGCGGCCGAUGUCAGAUUAGGUAGUUGGUGGGGUAAAGGCUCACCAAGCCAACGAUCUGUAGCUGGUCUGAGAGGACGACCAGCCACACUGGAACUGAGACACGGUCCAGACUCCUACGGGAGGCAGCAGUGGGGAAUUUUGGACAAUGGGCGCAAGCCUGAUCCAGCCAUUCCGCGUGCAGGAUGAAGGCCUUCGGGUUGUAAACUGCUUUUGUACGGUAACGAAACGGUACUGCCCUAAUACGGUGGGCUAAUGACGGUACCGUAAGAAUAAGACACCGGCUAACUACGUAGCCAGCAGCCGCGGUAA